rnacentral:rRNA from 1 species
GGACAAACGCUGGCGGCGUGCAUAAAACAUGCAAGUCGGACGAGCCAAUCCCCGCAAGGGGAAAGGCUAGUGGCGAACGGCUGAGUAACACGUAGGUGAUCUGCCCUGAAGUGGGGGAUAACGACUCGAAAGAGUCGCUAAUACCGCAUGUGACCAUCGAUUCGUUUUCGAUGCUCAAAGUCGUAAGACGCUUUAGGAGGAGCCUGCGGCGGAUUAGCUAGUUGGUGAGGUAANGGCCCACCAAGGCUUCGAUCCGUAGCUGGUCUGAGAGGAUGGCCAGCCAGACUGGGACUGAGACACGGCCCAGACUCCUACGGGAGGCAGCAGUUAGGAAUUUUGCGCAAUGGGGGAAACCCUGACGCAGCCACGCCGCGUGCGGGAUGAAGGCC